UGGGGAAUAUUGGACAAUGGGCGAAAGCCUGAUCCAGCCAUGCCGCGUGUGUGAAGAAGGUCUUCGGAUUGUAAAGCACUUUAAGUUGGGAGGAAGGGCAGUAAGCGAAUACCUUGCUGUUUUGACGUUACCGACAGAAUAAGCACCGGCUAACUCUGUGCCAGCAGCCGCGGUAAUACAGAGGGUGCAAGCGUUAAUCGGAAUUACUGGGCGUAAAGCGCGCGUAGGUGGUUCGUUAAGUUGAAUGUGAAAGCCCCGGACUCAACCUGGGAACUGCAUCCAAAACUGGCGAGCUAGAGUAGGGCAGAGGGUGGUGGAAUUUCCUGUGUAGCGGUGAAAUGCGUAGAUAUAGGAAGGAACACCAGUGGCGAAGGCGACCACCUGGGCUCAUACUGACACUGAGGUGCGAAAGCGUGGGGAGCAAACAGG
rnacentral:rRNA from 1 species